rnacentral:tRNA from 1 species
GCUGGUUUGGCACAGUGGAUAGAGCAUCAGUCUGACUGAAGGGUUCAGGGUUCGAUUCCCAUUCAGCA